CAGUUCAAUCAGAGCCCCCAAGGGCUCUCGUGUGAAAGCCCCAGGAUGACCCAAAGCUCUCCUACCUCUUUCUCUCUACAUCCCCAGCACGUAGAGGAGCCCUUGACAUGUAGUGGCCCCUCAAUAAGUAUUUUUUGAAUUAUUGAAUGCUAUGCCUUUCUUUCUUAUUGUACCAGAAAUCUGAGAGGACACGAGAGGCUAGACCUGCCAUCUUACCCCCUCAGGGAGCCUGAGACUGAGCCAACAGAGCACAAAGCAUGCGGCAGGCAGAGACACGUGAUUACAUCUGGGAGCCCUGAAUCUUGCCAUGCCUGAAGCCAGAGCUGCCCUUGGUCUUUUCACUUCCAUGAGCCAGAGAUAUGGAACAAAGAAUACAAACUUAGCAGAGAGAAACGUCUACUCCAUGGAGGCACUCAACCAUGAGAACAUUUUUGAAAGAUAGAGAUGGGCACUGAACGAGGGAGGAAAUGCCUGAGCUGAGCAGGUGAGCAGGAAAGCAUUUUUCAGGUGUGUUGUGACAGCCCUUCAUCCUGUGAGCUGUUCCAGAACGAAAGGAUCCAUGAUCAGAAAAGUCUGGAGAUUCAACCCCCUGUCACAGCAUGUCUCACAAUUAUCUUGACAUAUUAAAGAUCCUGAGAAGCCC